CCUACGGGUGGCAGCAGUGGGGAAUAUUGCACAAUGGGCGCAAGCCUGAUGCAGCCAUGCCGCGUGUGUGAAGAAGGCCUUCGGGUUGUAAAGCACUUUCAGCGGGGAGGAAGGCGUUAAGGUUAAUAACCUUGUCGAUUGACGUUACCCGCAGAAGAAGCACCGGCUAACUCCGUGCCAGCAGCCGCGGUAAUACGGAGGGUGCAAGCGUUAAUCGGAAUUACUGGGCGUAAAGCGCACGCAGGCGGUCUGUCAAGUCGGAUGUGAAAUCCCCGGGCUCAACCUGGGAACUGCAUUCGAAACUGGCGGGCUAGAGUCUUGUAGAGGGGGGUAGAAUUCCAGGUGUAGCGGUGAAAUGCGUAGAAAUCUGGAGGAACACCGGUGGCGAAGGCGGCCCCCUGGACAAAGACUGACGCUCAGGUGCGAAAGCGUGGGGAGCAAACAGGAUUAGAUACCCUUGUAGUC
rnacentral:rRNA from 1 species